CCUACGGGUGGCAGCAGUGAGGAAUAUUGGUCAAUGGUCGGGAGACUGAACCAGCCAAGCCGCGUGAGGGAUUAAGGUCCAGCGUAUCGUAAACCUCUUUUGCCAGGGAACAAAUGCGCGGACGCGUCCCCGGCUGCGGGUACCUCGAGAAAAAGCAUCGGCUAACUCCGUGGCAGCAGCCGCGGUAACACGGAGGGUGCGAGCGUUAUCCGGAUUUAGUGGGUUUUAAGGGUGCGCAGGCGGUCCGUUAAGUCGGCGGUCAAAGGCCGGGGCUCAACCCCGGCCCGCCGUUGAAACUGGCAGGCUGUAGUGGGAGAGAAGUAGGCGGAAUGCGCGGUGUAGCGGUGAAAUGCAUAGAUAUCACGCAGAACUCCGAUUGCGAAGGCAGCAUGCCGGCGCCAGACUGACGCUGCGGCACGAAAGCGUGGGUAUCGAACAGGAUUAGAUACCCUAGUAGUC
rnacentral:rRNA from 1 species